UACACUCAAAUUCAUGUCCACAGAGUUAUAGACAGGUGCAAAAAUAAAGCCUCUUUUGCAACCCGGAACUCAUUGUUCUGUAUGAGAUUUGUUACAGAUAAGAAGGAACAUG
rnacentral:snoRNA from 1 species